rnacentral:rRNA from 1 species
AGAGUUUGAUCCUGGCUCAGGAUGAACGCUAGCGGAAGGCUUAAUACAUGCAAGUCGAGCGGUAGGUGGCUUCGGCCAUUGAGAGCGGCGCACGGGUGAGUAACGCGUACAUGACCUGCCUGUCAGAAGGGGAUAGCCCUGGGAAACUGGGAUUAAUACCCUAUGGUAUUGAUAUUAUGAAUGAUAUCAAUUAAAGUUGAGGCGCUGACAGAUGGAUGUGCGUCUGAUUAGUUAGUUGGCGGGGUAACGGCCCACCAAGACGAUGAUCAGUAGGGGAACUGAGAGGUUGAUCCCCCACACUGGCACUGAGAUACGGGCCAGACUCCUACGGGAGGCAGCAGUAGGGAAUAUUGGUCAAUGGGUGCAAGCCUGAACCAGCCAUGCCGCGUGCAGGAAGAAGGCGUUAUGCGUUGUAAACUGCUUUUGCCAGGGGAUAAAAUUUCCUUGCGAGGAACAUUGAAGGUACCUGGUGAAUAAGCCACGGCUAACUACGUGCCAGCAGCCGCGGUAAUACGUAGGUGGCAAGCGUUGUCCGGAUUUAUUGGGUUUAAAGGGUGCGUAGGCGGCCCUGUAAGUCAGUGGUGAAAUACUCUAGCUUAACUAGAGGGGUGCCAUUGAUACUGCAGGGCUUGAGUGGAGUCGAAGUACGCGGAAUUGACGGUGUAGCGGUGAAAUGCUUAGAUAUCGUCAAGAACACCGAUAGUGAAGACAGUUUACUAGGCUUCUACUGACGCUGAGGCACGAAAGUGUGGGGAUCAAACAGGAUUAGAUACCCUGGUAGUCACACUGUAAACGUUGAUUACUCGCUGUUGGCGAUACACAGACAGCCGGCCAAGCGCAAGCGAUAAGUAAUCAG